rnacentral:rRNA from 1 species
UACGGAAGGGGCAAGCGUUGUUCGGAAUCAUUGGGCGUAAAGGGCGUGUAGGUGGUUCUGUAUGUCUACCGUGAAAGCGUACGGCUCAACCGUAUUUAGUCGGUAGAAACUGCAGGACUUGAGGCUGGGAGGGGCUGGUGGAAUUCCCCGUGUAGCGGUGAAAUGCGUAGAGUUGGGGGAGAACACUCGUGGCGAAGGCGGCCAGCUAGACCAGUUCUGACACUGAGGCGCGAUAGCGUGGGGAGCAAACAGG